AUGAUGAUGGCCCGGGUUUCCUCCGCCCUGUUUCUUGCCGUGGCGGCGCUUGCCCUCGCGGUGCCGGCGCUUGCCGGCGACCCCGACUACCUCCAGGACAUCUGCGUCGCCGACCUCAAAUCAGACCUGAAGGUGAACGGGUUCCCGUGCAAGGCGAACGCGACGGCGGACGACUUCUUCACCGGGGUGCUCGCCAAGCCCGGCGCCACCAACACCACGGCCGGCUCCGUCGUCACCGGCGCCAACGUGGAGAAGGUCCCGGGCCUCAACACCCUCGGCGUCUCCCUCUCCCGCAUCGACUACGCCCCCGGCGGGCUCAACCCGCCGCACACCCACCCGCGCGCCACCGAGGUCGUCUUCGUCCUCUACGGUGAGCUCGACGUCGGCUUCAUCACCACCGCAAACAAGCUCUUCGCCAAGACCAUCUCCCAGGGCGACGUCUUCGCCUUCCCGCGCGGCCUCGUGCACUUCCAGAAGAACAAUGCUGACAAGCCCGCCGCUGUCAUCUCGGCCUUCAACAGCCAGCUCCCCGGUACACAGUCCAUCGCCAUGGCGCUCUUCGGGGCCUCCCCAGAGGUACCCGACGACGUGCUCGCCAAGGCCUUCCAGAUCGGCACUGUGGAGGUUGACAAGAUCAAGGCCAAGUUUGCGCCAAAGAAGUGA
rnacentral:rRNA from 1 species